UGCGGUGACAAUACGUGCAGGGUCACACCCGUUCCCAUUCCGAACACGGAAGUUAAGCCUGUACGGCCGAUGGUAGUCGAAAGGUGAGAGUAGGUGAUUGCCGCAC
rnacentral:rRNA from 3 species